rnacentral:lncRNA from 1 species
UAUCUGAUUUACAUGCCAAGAGUUUCUUUUGUGGACAAAUCCUCCUGCUUCCUGAGCAUUUGCCAGGGAGAGCCUGUUUGCAGGAAGCGAUGUGUCCUUAGCUGCUCAGGCAGGCUCCUCCCCAUAGAAGCUUUGGGGAUGGAAGAUUCUGGAAGGGCAGUGUGCAGCCUGUGCUAAAGGCAGGCAGGGAGGGGCCAAAUCUGAGACAGUAUUUGUGUCCAUGGACAAGAAGGGAAAGUGUUAGCUCGUUAUUAGGGAGAGAGAGGUUGGGAAAGGGACAGGCUGGGUGAAUUAAUAGCAACAGCAGUAAAGCAGCUUUGUGUGAGUGACCCUGAUAUGAUUGACUGUAUGUUCAGGACAUGUAAUGAUGGUGGAGCCUUCCUACAAAUACUGCACUAAGGAAAUGCAGGUUCCAAAGUCCAUUGCCUUCAGGGCGAUUACUACUGUGAAAUUUGUAAACAUGACAUUGGUGGAGAGAAUGUGUGUCCUGGAACAUCCUACGGUUAAGUCAAAAGUAUUAGGAAUUGCCUGGGGAUUCCUCAGUUGAGAAAGGGACACCAUGACUUGGGCCUUGUAUCUCAUCUUUCCUUCUAGCCCUCAGGAUACAUUUGUUCAAAUAAAUUUAGCAAGAAGAUUAUCA